UACGAAGGGGGCUAGCGUUGCUCGGAAUUACUGGGCGUAAAGCGCACGUAGGCGGAUCUUUAAGUCAGGGGUGAAAUCCCGGAGCUCAACUCCAGAACUGCCUUUGAUACUGAGGAUCUUGAGUUCGGGAGAGGUGAGUGGAACUGCGAGUGUAGAGGUGAAAUUCGUAGAUAUUCGCAAGAACACCAGUGGCGAAGGCGGCUCACUGGCCCGAUACUGACGCUGAGGUGCGAAAGCGUGGGGAGCAAACAGG
rnacentral:rRNA from 1 species